rnacentral:rRNA from 1 species
UACGAAGGGGGGCUAGCGUUGCUCGGAAUCACUGGGCGUAAAGGGUGCGUAGGCGGGUUUUUAAGUCAGAGGUGAAAUCCUGGAGCUCAACUCCAGAACUGCCUUUGAUACUGAGAAUCUUGAGUAUGGGAGAGGUGAGUGGAACUGCGAGUGUAGAGGUGAAAUUCGUAGAUAUUCGCAAGAACACCAGUGGCGAAGGCGGCUCACUGGCCCAUAACUGACGCUGAGGCACGAAAGCGUGGGGAGCAA